CACCUCCGGCCGGAACCCCGGCAAAGAUGGCGGCGGCCAGGUGGUGGCGGCUCGUGCCCCGCGGCCCGGGGCGGUCAGUGCACUCCGCGGCCCAGGCCGCCGUGGGGACCCCGGACGUCCCCGGCGCAGAGGGCGCGGCGGCCCCUGUGGCGCGCUACCCGCCCAUCGUGGCUUCCAUGACGGCCGACAGCAAGGCGGCCCGGCAGCGGCGAGUGGAGCGCUGGCAGGCGGCGGUGCACGCGGCCCGGACGGCGGACGAGAAGAUCCGCAUCCUCACCAAAAUGCAGUUCAAGAAGUACGUGGUUUACCCGCAGACCUUCGCGCUCAACGCGGACCGCUGGUACCAGGGCUUCACCAAAACCGUGUUCCUGUCGGGCCUCCCGCCGCCCGCCGAGCCCGGGUCCCCGCCCUCCGAUUCCGGGUCCCCGCCCGCCGAGCCCGGAUCCCCGCCGGCCGAGCCCGCGCCCCCGCCCGUCCCGGACCUGGCGACCCUGCGCGCCGCCGCGUGCGACUGCCUCCUGCAGGAGCACUUCUACCUGCGGCGCCAGGGGCGCGCGCCCCUCUACCAGCAGGUGGAGGCCGUCGCCUCGCCCUUCCUGGACCAGCUGGUGGCCGCCCUCAUGGGCCUGCUCAGCGCGCACAACCCGGUCCUGGCCACCGCCGCCCUCGAUUGUAAACGCCCGGUUCACUUUUACUGGUGGCGUGGUGAAGAAAUCAUUGUUCAUGGUCAUCGGAAAGGGCGCGUUGAUGCUGUGAGAUACCAAAUAAAUGAUACACCACACAACCAGAUUCGAAUGUCCAAACAGCUGCCAGAGUUUGUGCCACUGGAUUAUUCUGUACCUAUAGAAAUUCCUGUUAUGAAUUGUAAGCCAGACAAACUUCCAUUAUUCAAACGACAAUAUGAAAAUGCCAUAUUUAUUGGCUCAAGGACAGCAGAUCCAUACUGUUAUGGUCAUACCCAGUUUCACCUGUUACCAGAAAAAUUAAACAGGGAAAGGCUCCUGAGGCAAAACUGUGCCGAUCAGAUAGAAGUUGUUUAUAGAGCUAAUGCUAUCGCAAGCCUUUUUGCUUGGACUGGAGCACAAGCUAUGUAUCAAGGUAAAAUGAUGGCAUUGUUGGAAGAUACCUGACAUUUAAAAAAUUUAGUAGUUCAUUUCCUUGGUUGAGUCUUAACAUUUCGAAAACUUGCAUUACCAAAAAGCAUAUUUGUUUUAAAACCCCCAAUUAAAUAUUUUACAUGUGCAGUUGUCAAAUGGCUCUUGGGUAGUGACGUGAUCUGUUAUUUGACCACUUUGUGUGACUGUAUUUUUUCUGAUGGUGUUGUCGAGCAUUUCAAAGACUAUAGAGCCCCCUAGUCAGCUCUGUAGAUGACAGCAGCUUUUGAAGCUACGGAAGGGAAUGCUGUGGUGGAUUAAGUGUUAGGUUAAGUCCUAGCUAUUCUUUAUCGUUUAUUAGAAGGCCAUAUCUAGGCUGUGGAUCAGGGGAUUGUUCAUUCAGUAAAUAGAAUUUUUUAUGUAUUAAGCACGGUUGGCCUUGGGGAUAAAGUGCUGGAUAAGACAGGCAGACCCUACUCUUCUGGAGCUUAUAGUGAGGAGAAUAAAGGAGAAUAAACAGGUAAGAUUUUUAGGUAGUGUUAAUACUGCAAAGAACAUUACUACAUAGAUAAGGGCUAGAAUGAUUUAUGAGGCACAGGUUUAAUGGAGAUGUGGGGCAGACUCUGUAAACAUAGUCAUUCAGAGGAGGACUCAAGAAGAAUGAACAGAAACUGAAUGGUGAGGGGCUGCUAAGUGUAAACUCUGGGAAAGACACUGAGGCAGACAGAAUGGCAAGUCAUAUCGGAGGCAGAACAGACUCGAGGUGUUUGAGGACCAUGAAGGCUGAUGAAGAGAGGAGGAGCCAGAGGCCAUUUCACGUAGGACUUUUAGAGCCCAUUUGAGGAUUCUGGAGCGAAGCAGAUGUCACUCGACCUUUUGUCUCUCAGGCCGUGAUCACAGAUGGAAGAUACUUUUCUUUUUUCUGCUACCAGUUAAAUACUUUGGCACUGACUGCACAAGCUGAUCAGAAUAACAGUCGUA